UUUUUUGAUGAAGUAAAUAUUUGCUGAAUUCAUUUAUACUUUUUAUUAAAGGAAAUGGAAUGACACAGUUUUGGUAGCAGGCUAUAGCACUCACGAGUGUUGCAAAUGAUAAGCAACAACUUGAAACAGCAAAGGCAUGGCACACUGUGACCUUUCAGGUCCAGUAACUCUUACAUAUGCUUUAGCUGGGGACUUUUCUACUCAAGCACUCAUUGUAUAGAAACUGCUAAUAAUUGACUGGCUCACAAGGAAAUGAGUGUGAGAACUGGUAAAAAGUUGAGCAAGAGAAAAAAAAAAAUCCUAUGUCCUCAAAGUUUCAAUUAGUGUUCACUGUAUUUCCGGAAUGUCUGGGAACAGUCAUAGGCUGAAGAAUCCAGGAAGCAAACCGGUCUGGAGGCCAGGAGAGGAAGGGAGAGGUGGAAAGCUGGCUGACUUCGGUGCUAACGUUAGCCUUCCGAUUUUCACAUGCAAGUGGAUUACAUAAACUUGAGGAGUUCAUAGUGACAGACUCCUGGGAAUAGGUCUGAUUGAAGCCUGCUAAUACAAGGAAUAACUUCCACGGUGCCGUUGCGAGAGGAUGCUGAGCAACAGCGUGAACCGCUUUUCCUCUGCAGAGCUCCCCAGAAUGACGGAAGGCAUUCCUCCCUCUUGCCACAUAAUGGAGAUGGAUUGCAGCUACUCAUGACAUCGCUGCAAAAGUUGCCUCUUAACUUCUAUUAAGACCCAUUAAGAAAUGUCUUUUCCCUGCCGUGCCUCCCAGACGCCUUGACAGCUUUAGCUGAGCAAGAUCUCCAGCCAUCCCCAGCAACCUCUGUGCUCCACCAGCCACCACAUUUGGAGUAAAAAUCUUGUUUUAUAUCCUAUUCCAUACAACCAUAACACCAGUCUCUGGGGGUUCCUGUUGAUAGUCUUGUCACUCAGAUGCAGCCAGAGGCGUGGAGGCUCCUUUGAUUAUCUCCGUUCCUUCACAGGGGCUGUGCUGUUACCUCAUUUGCCUGUUAAAAACCCAUAGAGGUUCCUGUCUUGUUAAAUGUAAUUCUGUUGCAAUUACUGUCAAAUGUUGAAUUAAAAGUGGUUAGCUCAUUAACAGCUCCCCCAACAAUCGAUUAAAAAGUUUUAUUCUUCAUACAAAGAUGGCUGGCAUUUACAUACGAACUCCGUUCUCAUCUUUGGAAUAUUAUCAUAACUUGAACUGCUGAUUUUUUUUUAAACU